rnacentral:rRNA from 1 species
GUGAGGAGUGGCUUCCGGAGCUAACGCGUUAAAUCGACCGCCUGGGGAGUACGGCCGCAAGGUUAAAACUCAAAUGAAUUGACGGGGGCCCGCACAAGCGGUGGAGCAUGUGGUUUAAUUCGAUGCAACGCGAAGAACCUUACCUACUCUUGACAUCCAGAGAAUUUAGCAGAGAUGCUUUAGUGCCUUCGGGAACUCUGAGACAGGUGCUGCAUGGCUGUCGUCAGCUCGUGUUGUGAAAUGUUGGGUUAAGUCCCGCAACGAGCGCAACCCUUAUCCUUUGUUGCCAGCACGUUAUGGUGGGAACUCAAAGGAGACUGCCGGUGAUAAACCGGAGGAAGGUGGGGAUGACGUCAAGUCAUCAUGGCCCUUACGAGUAGGGCUACACACGUGCUACAAUGGCGUAUACAAAGAGAAGCGACCUCGCGAGAGCAAGCGGAACUCAUAAAGUACGUCGUAGUCCGGAUUGGAGUCUGCAACUCGACUCCAUGAAGUCGGAAUCGCUAGUAAUCGUAGAUCAGAAUGCUACGGUGAAUACGUUCCCGGGCCUUGUACACACCGCCCGUCACACCAUGGGAGUGGGUUGCAAAAGAAGUAGGUAGCUUAACCUUCGGGAGGGCGCUUACCACUUUGUGAUUCAUGACUGGGGUGAAGUCGUAACAAGGUAACCA